rnacentral:tRNA from 1 species
GCUGAUAUGGUGCAGUUGGUAGAGCGCACCCUUGGUAAGGGUGAGGUCCCCAGUUCGACUCGUGGUAUUAGUAUCA